rnacentral:rRNA from 1 species
UAUGUAGGGGGCAAGCGUUGUCCGGAAUCAUUGGGCGUAAAGAGCGUGUAGGCGGUUCGGUAAGUCGGCUGUGAAAGUCCAGGGCUCAACCCUGGGAUGCCGGUCGAUACUGCCGGACUAGAGUUCGGAAGAGGCGAGUGGAAUUCCCGGUGUAGCGGUGAAAUGCGCAGAUAUCGGGAGGAACACCUAUGGCGAAGGCAGCUCGCUGGGACGUUACUGACGCUGAGACGCGAAAGCAUGGGUAGCAAACAGG